UUAUUGGUUCUAGAGUCAAUGAAUGGAUUAUAAAUUAUUAUAUAGGCAGCUGAAUGGGUCAAUGGGCCAAUGUGCCUGUGUAUGGUCAGUCUCCAUUUUGUAUAAAGAAACAACUUCCAUGUCCAAGUUGCAGGGCUCAGGGCAGAUUCUAAAACUGGUUUCUCUUUCUGCUUGCAGAUGUUGAUGUGAUUUCCAAGUUUGCCCAGUUAGAAUUUCAGCUGGGAGACACUGAGCGGGCCAAAGCCCUGUUUGAGAGCACGCUGAGCAGCUACCCAAAACGUACAGACCUCUGGUCUGUUUAUAUUGACAUGAUGGUGAAACAUGGCAGCCAAAAGGAAGUGAGGGACAUUUUUGAGCGUGUGAUUCAUCUGAGCUUGGCAGCUAAAAAGAUCAAGUUCUUUUUCAAGCGCUACUUGGAGUAUGAAAAGAAACAUGGAAGCACCGAGAGUGUCCAGGCCGUGAAAGAGAAAGCGCUGCAGUACGUGGAAUCUCAGAGUUCUCUGGUGGCCACAUAGUGCCCUGUGCUUAGAGACUGCUCUGAUUAAUGUUUAUAUACGUUUCCUACCGAUUGGAUACAAUAGAGAGUUAUUAUAUGAAUGCCGGGAGAGCUGCCACAGGAACACAGACUCUGAGACUUGGGCAUUUGCCCUUCAGAGACGGAGCUUCAUUUUAAAUUCUACUCCACUGAUUUUUUUGUAUGCUGCGUUGUGUUGUUCUGCGUGUGUGUAUAUUCAUAUGCAGAAUUGAUACAUUAAAAUAAAUGCCAAUCUUGA